rnacentral:rRNA from 1 species
UCGGGGUUAGUGGCGCACGGGUGCGUAACGCGUGGGAACCUGCCUUUUGGUUCGGAAUAACAGUGAGAAAUUACUGCUAAUACCGGAUAAUGUCUUCGGACCAAAGAUUUAUCGCCAUUAGAUGGGCCCGCGUAAGAUUAGCUAGUUGGUGGGGUAAAGGCCUACCAAGGCGACGAUCUUUAGCUGGUCUGAGAGGAUGAUCAGCCACACUGGGACUGAGACACGGCCCAGACUCCUACGGGAGGCAGCAGUGGGGAAUAUUGGACAAUGGGCGAAAGCCUGAUCCAGCAAUGCCGCGUGAGUGAUGAAGGCCUUAGGGUUGUAAAGCUCUUUUACCAGGGAUGAUAAUGACAGUACCUGGAGAAUAAGCUCCGGCUAACUCCGUGCCAGCAGCCGCGGUAAUACGGAGGGAGCUAGCGUUGUUCGGAAUUACUGGGCGUAAAGCGCACGUAGGCGGCUUUUUAAGUCAGGGGUGAAAUCCCGGAGCUCAACUCCGGAACUGCCCUUGAAACUGGGAAGCUAGAAUCUUGGAGAGGCGAGUGGAAUUCCGAGUGUAGAGGUGAAAUUCGUAGAUAUUCGGA